UACACUCCUGCGGGAGGCAGCAGUGGGGAAUAUUGCACAAUGGGCGCAAGCCUGAUGCAGCCAUGCCGCGUGUAUGAAGAAGGCCUUCGGGUUGUAAAGUACUUUCAGCGGGGAGGAAGGCAAUACGGUUAAUAACCGUGUUGAUUGACGUUACCCGCAGAAGAAGCACCGGCUAACUCCGUGCCAGCAGCCGCGGUAAUACGGAGGGUGCAAGCGUUAAUCGGAAUUACUGGGCGUAAAGCGCACGCAGGCGGUCUGUCAAGUCGGAUGUGAAAUCCCCGGGCUCAACCUGGGAACUGCAUUCGAAACUGGCAGGCUUGAGUCUGUAGAGGGGGGUAGAAUUCCAGGUGUAGCGGUGAAAUGCGUAGAGAUCUGGAGGAAUACCGGUGGCGAAGGCGGCCCCCUGGACAAAGACUGACGCUCAGGUGCGAAAGCGUGGGGAGCAAACAGGAUUAGAUACCCGGGUAGUCCCAUGA
rnacentral:rRNA from 1 species